rnacentral:rRNA from 1 species
GAUGAACGCUGGCGGCGUGCCUAAUACAUGCAAGUCGAGCGAACGGACGAGAAGCUUGCUUCUCUGAUGUUAGCGGCGGACGGGUGAGUAACACGUGGAUAACCUACCUAUAAGACUGGGAUAACUUCGGGAAACCGUAGCUAAUACCGGAUAAUAUUUUGAACCGCAUGGUUCAAAAGUGAAAGACGGUCUUGCUGUCACUUAUAGAUGGAUCCGCGCUGCAUUAGCUAGUUGGUAAGGUAACGGCUUACCAAGGCAACGAUGCAUAGCCGACCUGAGAGGGUGAUCGGCCACACUGGAACUGAGACACGGUCCAGACUCCUACGGGAGGCAGCAGUAGGGAAUCUUCCGCAAUGGGCGAAAGCCUGACGGAGCAACGCCGCGUGAGUGAUGAAGGUCUUCGGAUCGUAAAACUCUGCUAUUAGGGAAGAACAUAUGUGUAAGUAACUGUGCACAUCUUGACGGUACCUAACCAGAAAGCCACGGCUAACUACGUG